rnacentral:ncRNA from 1 species
CAUAGGUUUGGUCCUAGCCUUUCUAUUAAUUGUUAGUAAAUUUACACAUGCAAGAAUCCUCACCCCAGUGAAAAUGCCCUCUAAAUCAACCCCUGACAAAAAGGAGCUGGUAUCAAGCGCACUAUUUAGUAGCUCUCCACACCUUGCUCAGCCACACCCCCACGGGAAACAGCAGUGAUAAAUAUUAAGCAAUAAACGAAAGCUUGACUAAGUUAUACUAUUUAGGCCUGGUAAACUUCGUGCCAGCCACCGCGGUCAUACGAUCGGGCCAAAUUAAUAGAUAUACGGCGUAAAGAGUGUUAAAAAAUAAACAAACAAUAAAGCUAAACUCUAACUAAACUGUAAAAAGUCUUAGUUACUGUAAAAUUCAUAACGAAAGUAGCUUUAAAAAUUCUGAUUACACUAUAGCUAGGACCCAAACUGGGAUUAGAUACCCCACUAUGCCUAGCCCUAAACAUAAGUUAUUAAUAACAAAAUUACCCGCCAGAGAACUACUAGCAACAGCUAAAAACUCAAAGGACUUGGCGGUACCCCACAUCCUUCUAGAGGAGCCUGUUCUAUAAUCGAUAAACCCCGCUACACCCGACCAAUUCUUGCCAAACCAGCCUAUAUACCGCCAUCCUCAGCAAACCCUAAAAAGGAUUUACAGUAAGCACAAGCAUUAACAUAAAAAAGUUAGGUCAAGGUGUAGCCUAUGAAUUGGAAAGAAAUGGGCUACAUUUUUCCCACCAAGGAAAAACCUACGAAAGUUUCUGUGAAAAUCAUAAACUAAAGGUGGAUUUAGUAGUAAACUAAGAAUAGAGUGCUUAAUUGAAUUUUUGGCCAUGGGGUACGCACACACCGCCCGUCACCCUCCUCAAGUAAAAAUAACUAAACAACUAAUUAAUUACAAGUAUUAAUUCACAAGAGGAGAUAAGUCGUAACAAGGUAAGUGUACUGGAAAGUGCACUUGGAAAAUA